UUAAGCGACCAAGCGUACACGGUGGAUGCCCUGGCAGUCAGAGGCGAUGAAGGACGUGCUAAUCUGCGAUAAGCGCCGGUAAGGUGAUAUGAACCGUUAUAACCGGCGAUUUCCGAAUGGGGAAACCCAGUGUGAUUCGUCACACUAUCAUUAACUGAAUCCAUAGGUUAAUGAGGCGAACCGGGGGAACUGAAACAUCUAAGUACCCCGAGGAAAAGAAAUCAACCGAGAUUCCCCCAGUAGCGGCGAGCGAACGGGGAGGAGCCCAGAGCCUGAAUCAGCAUGUGUGUUAGUGGAACGGUCUGGAAAGGCCGGCGAUACAGGGUGACAGCCCCGUACAUGAAAACACACCUGUUGUGAGCUCGAUGAGUAGGGCGGGACACGUGGUAUCCUGUCUGAAUAUGGGGGGACCAUCCUCCAAGGCUAAAUACUCCUGACUGACCGAUAGUGAACCAGUACCGUGAGGGAAAGGCGAAAAGAACCCCGGCGAGGGGAGUGAAACAGAACCUGAAACCGUGUACGUACAAGCAGUGGGAGCCCCACCACCAAAGCGUUUCGCUUUGUGUGGUGCACAAAGAAGCGUAACGACAGCACUGGCUGACGGUUAACGGAGCGUAAGCGACGUUCAACACAAAAAUCAGGCAGUGGAGCGCUUUGGGGUGGGGUGACUGCGUACCUUUUGUAUAAUGGGUCAGCGACUUAUAUUCUGUAGCAAGGUUAACCGAAUAGGGGAGCCGAAGGGAAACCGAGUCUUAAUUGGGCGUUAAGUUGCAGGGUAUAGACCCGAAACCCGGUGAUCUAGCCAUGGGCAGGUUGAAGGUUGGGUAACACUAACUGGAGGACCGAACCGACUAAUGUUGAAAAAUUAGCGGAUGACCUGUGGCUGGGGGUGAAAGGCCAAUCAAACCGGGAGAUAGCUGGUUCUCCCCGAAAGCUAUUUAGGUAGCGCCUCGUGAAUUCAUCUCCGGGGGUAGAGCACUGUUUCGGCUAGGGGGCCAUCCCGGCUUACCAACCCGAUGCAAACUGCGAAUACCGGAGAAUGUUAUCACGGGAGACACACGGCGGGUGCUAACGUCCGUCGUGAAGAGGGAAACAACCCAGACCGCCAGCUAAGGUCCCAAAGUCAUGGUUAAGUGGGAAACGAUGUGGGAAGGCCCAGACAGCCAGGAUGUUGGCUUAGAAGCAGCCAUCAUUUAAAGAAAGCGUAAUAGCUCACUGGUCGAGUCGGCCUGCGCGGAAGAUGUAACGGGGCUAAACCAUGCACCGAAGCUGCGGCAGCGACGCUUAGGCGUUGUUGGGUAGGGGAGCGUUCUGUAAGCCGUUGAAGGUGUGUCGUGAGGCAUGCUGGAGGUAUCAGAAGUGCGAAUGCUGACAUAAGUAACGAUAAAGCGGGUGAAAAGCCCGCUCGCCGGAAGACCAAGGGUUCCUGUCCAACGUUAAUCGGGGCAGGGUGAGUCGACCCCUAAGGCGAGGCCGAAAGGCGUAGUCGAUGGGAAACGGGUUAAUAUUCCCGUACUUGGUGUUACUGCGAAGGGGGGACGGAGAAGGCUAUGUUGGCCGGGCGACGGUUGUCCCGGUUUAAGCGUGUAGGUGUGUGUUCCAGGUAAAUCCGGUUCACUUUAACACUGAGGCGUGACGACGAGGCACCACGGUGCUGAAGCAACAAAUGCCCUGCUUCCAGGAAAAGCCUCUAAGCAUCAGGUAACAUCAAAUCGUACCCCAAACCGACACAGGUGGUCAGGUAGAGAAUACCAAGGCGCUUGAGAGAACUCGGGUGAAGGAACUAGGCAAAAUGGUGCCGUAACUUCGGGAGAAGGCACGCUGACAUGUAGGUGAAGUGAUUUACUCAUGGAGCUGAAGUCAGUCGAAGAUACCAGCUGGCUGCAACUGUUUAUUAAAAACACAGCACUGUGCAAACACGAAAGUGGACGUAUACGGUGUGACGCCUGCCCGGUGCCGGAAGGUUAAUUGAUGGGGUCAGCGCAAGCGAAGCUCCUGAUCGAAGCCCCGGUAAACGGCGGCCGUAACUAUAACGGUCCUAAGGUAGCGAAAUUCCUUGUCGGGUAAGUUCCGACCUGCACGAAUGGCGUAAUGAUGGCCAGGCUGUCUCCACCCGAGACUCAGUGAAAUUGAACUCGCUGUGAAGAUGCAGUGUACCCGCGGCAAGACGGAAAGACCCCGUGAACCUUUACUAUAGCUUGACACUGAACAUUGAGCCUUGAUGUGUAGGAUAGGUGGGAGGCUUUGAAGCGUGGACGCCAGUCUGCGUGGAGCCGACCUUGAAAUACCACCCUUUAAUGUUUGAUGUUCUAACGUGGACCCGUAAUCCGGGUUGCGGACAGUGUCUGGUGGGUAGUUUGACUGGGGCGGUCUCCUCCUAAAGAGUAACGGAGGAGCACGAAGGUUGGCUAAUCCUGGUCGGACAUCAGGAGGUUAGUGCAAUGGCAUAAGCCAGCUUGACUGCGAGCGUGACGGCGCGAGCAGGUGCGAAAGCAGGUCAUAGUGAUCCGGUGGUUCUGAAUGGAAGGGCCAUCGCUCAACGGAUAAAAGGUACUCCGGGGAUAACAGGCUGAUACCGCCCAAGAGUUCAUAUCGACGGCGGUGUUUGGCACCUCGAUGUCGGCUCAUCACAUCCUGGGGCUGAAGUAGGUCCCAAGGGUAUGGCUGUUCGCCAUUUAAAGUGGUACGCGAGCUGGGUUUAGAACGUCGUGAGACAGUUCGGUCCCUAUCUGCCGUGGGCGCUGGAGAACUGAGGGGGGCUGCUCCUAGUACGAGAGGACCGGAGUGGACGCAUCACUGGUGUUCGGGUUGUCAUGCCAAUGGCACUGCCCGGUAGCUAAAUGCGGAAGAGAUAAGUGCUGAAAGCAUCUAAGCACGAAACUUGCCCCGAGAUGAGUUCUCCCUGAGACUUUAAGUCUCCUGAAGGAACGUUGAAGACGACGACGUUGAUAGGCCGGGUGUGUAAGCGCAGCGAUGCGUUGAGCUAACCGGUACUAAUGAACCGUGAGGCUUAACCUU
rnacentral:rRNA from 1 species